GAAGAAAAAUAUACUCUUUUCUUCCAUUUUUUCUCAAGAACUCAAGAAAGGUUUCCAUAGAAGAUCCAAGUUCAAGCAAUUCUCUCCUUGAAUCUUCCUAAAAUCAAGAACUAAGGCAUGCAUAGUAUUCACCCAUGGAUUCUUUUCAUCCAUGGAGCUCAAGAAUCAAGUUUUAAAUCAUAAGUUCAAUGAGAGUUACUUUUCUAUGCUCAGAAAACUUGACAAUGUGCACCGCCACUAUCGACUUGCUCCCAGCUAGCCACUACAAAUAUCGGGCUUUCAGGUGUGAACUCGUCUUGCAAAGAUGAGGAGGAUUCCGACUUGUCUAAGCCUGUCAAAUAUUCUCCUGCCUCUACAGAUCUAGUUACCGAGAUUGACGAGUCAGUAAAGGGCUUUUCCGCAAAACAUGAGGGCCAGGUGUUAGAUGAUUUGUCUCAACGAAUUGAGCAUAUGUUUCCAAAGUUAUCCCUUACGGAUGAUAAUUUCGAGAAUAUGGGUCGGGUUGUCAACAAACAUCAAGAGUCAGAGAUUGAAUAUUGUAGGAAAUUCGAUUUUAAUAUUGGAACCUGUGAACUUCCUUUGAUGAAGAGAACUCCAACACUUAUGUGGGGCAGGUAUUUGCUAAUUUUUAUUAUGGACCUGAGUACUCUUUGGUUGAACAUGAAGUGUUUGAAUCACUAUGGGAAAGAAGUCCUAUCUUAAUUUUUGUUAGUAUCUUGAUGCCUGAUCGUAUAUCUAUACACCUUCCCUUUGAUCCUGGUGAACCUAUUUCUCCACCUAUUUUGUUCGAGUGUGGGCUUCGGCAAUUUGGUAUACGUCGUAGAUAUGCAGGAAUACCACUAAAUUUGGAAACAAAAGUUGCCAAUAUAUGGAGGAUAGACUAUGUAGCUAAUGUGUUUGACCAAAUUGCUUAUCCAACUGCUGGUAUAUUAAAUAUCUUCCUUAGCUACUUGUCUAAGGAUGAAGUGUGCUGGAAUAUUGGUUCUUUCUCUGUUAUGCUCUAUUGUUUUGUCCAGAACCAUCUGGUUGUGCAGUACAUUAAUGGUACAACUUUAUUGGAAAGUUCAGUUGUCCAUUUGAACCAACUUGGCUCGGGAAUGUUCCAGGAGAUGCUUGAAUUAUUCUUAGUUGGAUUAGAGCUACCAUUUGAUCCUUACUCUAAUUUACUUACUAUAUUCCUUAGAGUUAUAAGAAAUUUUGUGUAUUGUUUUGCUUUGGGCGAUUUGGAUCAUGAUAAGUUAAUUAUGUCAACCUUGUGAAAUUCUUGCAAUUGGAUUGAUACGGCACAGGAGCGUAAUCUUCCUGGUAUCUUGUUGUCUAAAUCGAGAGAGCUUGGUAGUAAGGAGAAAAUAAAGGUGGUGUUCAAAGCAUUUGUUGCAUGAUACUCAGAACUGAUGCAGCAUAUUUUGGUCAACAAAGAUGAUGGGCUCUUGUUUGCUAUGUUUGGUGUAGUUCUACAUUAAGGCGAACUUUGUCGUAUCUUAUUUUGGGUCUCGGUCCUUUUCUUGAUUCUGAUAUGUUUGUGAGGUUUCCUGAUUCAUUCAUGUUAUGCUUUAAGCAUAUGCUCCUCUACUUGUGCAUGUCAAUGAAUUUCUCAAGGUGAUUUGUUGUUUCUUUUGGCCACACAAAUAUCGGUUGGAAAGUCACUAUCA